CAUUUGAAUGUGAAUCUCUAUAUAUUGGUUAUAAAAUUCCUCCUAUGUCACUUCAUUAUAAGAAAAAGAUUUUCAGCCAUCUUGAAUAUAAGGGAAGCAAUCUCUCCGGUUGGAUUUAGAUUCGUGGUUUCAAGAUCCAUUCCGCAUACAUGGUAGGACUUACACAGGCUUUGAGCCGGCUGUCUUAUGUUCUUUGUCUCUAUCAUACAUACUAUACAUUACUUUAUACCAGUCCGAGGUUCAAAAUCUGGGUCUGUAAUCGAACACAAAACUUGAAACAAGCUUAUAACAAUAGUGUAUAAUUGUUUAAUCAAAAAUUGAAACUUUGUCAGGCUUAUAUAUAUUAUAUAGAUUUCCUGUUAUCAAAUUCGUCUUUAAAUGACAGAGUGCAGAACGGCUUCUGUCUUGUUUUGACGCGUAUCAAAUCUCCUUGAAACUUUUGAUCAAUGAUCAUUAACCCUUUUAUGAAUGAAUUAAUGUUGACAGCUCGCUGAUUAAUCGCCAUACAUGUAUAUACGGAGAAUUUUCUUACUGACUCUACUCCUUGAAAUUGUAUCUUUAAUUUCAUUUCAUUCGCCAACCCAUGACAGAUCGCAUAACGACGAUGUGUUUGCCGUACUUGUACGCCUGUCCAUUGGACUGUCUGCUAAUAUGAAAAUACAAUCUACAUCUUACGUUCAUACACAUCAUGUCGCAAAUUCUUCAUGGCGGAUGUCUGUUAUUGCAAUGCACUCAAAUUUACUAUACAUGUCGCUCAUAUCUUAAAGCAAUGGAGUCCGGCUCAAGUACAGGUAUAUAUCUUCAGUUGAUAGGUUUGUUCUAGAUGCGAAAAAAAAACCCAAGUUACACUCUCUGAUGAAUAUCAUAGUGUAUAAUUGUCGCAUCCGGUAUCAUCAGCGGAAAUGACGUAAUAGUGCACUCUCCGGGUGAGGUAAUGGAGUACGCAUAUUAGCGAUUUCGUUUCUUGUCCAGGAAGCAAAAAUGUAAUACUAUGUUCAUCAGUUAAGAAGGUACUCUUCAUCGUCAUAAUGGCUGACUUCCUUUUAAAACAUGGAUGAAAAUAUAACUAUUUCAUUUACUAUUCAUUUAAAAAAAUUAUCGCCUAGCUACAUGUACCUCAGUAGGUUAGCACGUCGACUGCUGAAUUGUAGGUCGCGGGUUCAAGUUCAGUAGGGGUUUUAAAUUUUUUUCCCCAGAUUGCUUUCUAUUAAAACUGCUUUUAUUUUACUAUAUAAAGUAAAUUUGAGAGUUUGCAAUUUCAAAGUAUUGUUGUACAUAUCCUCCACUUUUCAUAUAUAUCAAAUUUCUCUGGUGUAACAUUCCUCCUUAAAUAAGUGUGUUGAACUUUGUUUAAAUAUGAAAUUAAACUUUGAUAUCAUGAGCAAUUUAUCAUAUCUAGACCAAGAAUGUUUCUAUCAAACUAACAACGUUUACCAUCGCUUUAGAUGCAUGUGUCCAAUAUUCUCCUGGAUUUGAAUACACAUAAUAACAGAACGACAUGAACAGUUGCAAUUUGAAGAUCAAGGGGAUUAAUUUUCAAAGCGAGUAAAAAUUAGACUGCUGCUAUACGAAGAUUCAAGGACACUGCCCUAUUAAUGUAAGCUAAUUUACAUGGAAUAAUGAGAUGACAAUGCUUCAAGACAUAUCCGAAACAUCUUUUAUGAGGACACAGUGGACUGUGACAUUAAAGUAUAAGGCGUAAAAACUAAUUACUGUUGAAACAUUUUCUUGAGUAAUUGAAUUUUCUUUCAUAUUCAAAAAAUAGGAAUUAACCAAUGUUAGCUGUCUUGAAACAACCAAUACAAUAACUCUGAAAGUUGAUCUGGAGGCUUUGGCAUGUUUGACUGAACAAUCGGAAUCUUUAAUUCUGGUAGCAGGAAUCAGUUGCGAAAACGAUCACCUGUCUACUGUCUAAUGAUCGCUAUUGAUUUCUUAAACACGGAAACCGGAAGCUAAAGUGGUUGUUCGGCAUGGAAGAUGAAAAACGACAGCCACUGAUUAAGAUCACUUUCAUCCCGCAGAAACCAGUGACACGUGAUUUACGAUAGUCGUCACGUCACCAGGACUAGACUAGUAUUAGUGACUGAGUUCAAAUGAAACGUGUGACUUGAGAAUUGGUCUUAAAUUUGCUUUACAAAUCGUAUUCGAGUUCUGCUUGGUGAACCACCAAGCAGAACUCAUUGAUUGUAAUAACUCUGAUCCAAGGCUAUUUUAAUGGUUGCUGACGUAGACCCUGAUCUGUCUGUUCGUGUCUUUAUAUAGCAAACUUCAAUAAUUAUUGUGUGCCUCUAUACCCUCAUCCUUCUCGCUUAAAGCGUACCAUGUACACGGCAUAUACAUCCAACAGAAAUUCAAAACUGUGUAAACUGUAAACUGGUUUUUCUUUCGCCAGCAGGAACUUUGUUUACCUUUAGAUAUAUCUCCUACCGCUACCAGAUCAGAUCUGUAUAAUGGCGUGGACUUCUGCCACAUUUGACGAAAGAAACGACAAAAUAAUGGCAAGGCUGCUGACUUAAGGAUAUUACUCUAUGCUACCUACCGUAGCGAUCUUAGAUCUUUCACCUCUACGACUUGGAUGAGACAUGUCGCCAGUCCAUUAUCAGCAGAGACUUGGGAUUGGUAUGGCAGACAUAGGAAACGUUGUGACUGUCAAGGAGGUGCCCAAUCCCUGCCAGAGAUUGGGUUCUUCCACAUCAUUACUCAAAGGCAAUCCAUGCAGAGAAAGAAAACGAUCGUUUUUUCACACAGCAAAGACAACUAAGAUUUUUGAAGAAAAAAAAAAAAGAAAGAAAGAAAAAAACAACAAACAUUCAUUCUAAGUAGAUACAUGUAAUAUCAAUUCAAACAAUUUAAAACUAAAUAAAUAUUGAACAUGUAAUAUGAAUAAGGUAAGUAUUUAUGUUCUAUAAUAAAUAUGCAACCACG